AGUCUGACUUCCGGAGGGCCAGCGGCGCGCUGGCUGGUUACCAAGGUUACCGCCGAGAGGCCGCGUCCUCAGCUGGUCCUAGACAUGCGUGGCGUCGGGGCUGUGGCACGGUCGGGUCCGGGGACACUUGUUUAACAAGACAUCUGCCCAUGUCCCUGGCCCAUCUCAUUGGCUGCAGCACAUCACAGUGGACCUUCUGCCUCCUCCCAGAUGCCCAGGGACAGUGAUCUGGAAGGAAGGGGCUUGAGGCUGUUUUCCUAGAACUCGACUUGAAUGCACCAAGGAAAGGCCAUUUGUGGGGACAUAGCAAGAAGGCAGCUGUCUGCAAGCCAGGAGGAGAACCCUCACCAGAAACCUCACAGAAAUCGGCCAACACCCUCAUCUCGGGCUUCCAGCUUCAGAACAACGAGAAAACAAAUUUCUGUUGUGUCCUGGUUCCCAUUUGUAAUUGGCACCCUAAUGAAACCGUUUUCUGUAGCCCUGGAAAUGGCUGAAAAUGAGGGGAGGGAAAUAAAGUGCUAUAAUUCAGAGCAUGGAGCACACCUUCCUGGUUCACCUGAGCUGGAUUCGGAGAGGUAAAAUGGCCAUUACCUCGUCUAAGCUGCCACUUACAGACACAGUACAGGAUGAGGCCCAGACCCACAGAGACAACGAUGAUGGCCACAGCUAAGAUGAUCCAGAAAUUAUUCCUCCACCAGCUCAUUGCAGUGGAAUCCUGAGAAGAAUGGAGAGAGAAGAAUGAGGCCUCCUGGAGUCACAAAGCCUGGAGCAACAGGAGAACCACUAAAGAAGACGGAACAGCUAGUUCCUGCCUUAAUGAUUAACCGACCUUGCAACAGUCCACCUUGUGAUAUGUUCCUGCCCUUCCCCAACUAAUCCAUCCACCUUGUGAUAUGUUCCUGCCCUUCCCCAACUAAUCCAUCCACCUUGUGAUAUGUUCCUGCCC
rnacentral:lncRNA from 1 species